CGUAAGAUUUCCAAUUCCCAAAAAAAAAUUAAUAUGAAUAUUUGAUUGAAUUAAAAAAGCCAUUGUUUAUCUCUGUUCAUCCUUGAAAGUUACAAAUCCAUGUCGAUAUGAUAAUUCAUUCUAGACUAAAUUGAGAAUAAUUUAUGAACGAUGGAAUUUAAUACGACAUAUCGGAUCUACGCUCUUGAGGUGCAGACGAAUACACCAACGAUUUGUCGUCCUUUAACAGAUAAGAUAAUGCGAGAAUAUUCUCUCACUGACGUGGACAACACGACACCGUUGCGGGACGGUGCAAACAUUCAGUCCGAAGUCGAAGCCGAGCUCCAAAUGGAAGAAACACGGCAAACGAGAACGGAGGUCAAUGAAUCAAAUGGAACUUCAACUCAAGGGAGCGGAGGAGCGUUCGUAGUUCGUGUUAUUUACGAGAUGAUGAUCACAAGCCUCAGUACGCAUUUAAAACGUGUCUUGGUUGACAAUUCUUAUUCUGCGUUCAACACUUGAAGCUCAAUAUGAAUAAAGUUGGUUUCAGGGCUUUUUAAGCUGAAUAUUUUCCAUGGUGCAACAUGAUAUAGGGGAAUGGAAAUCUGGAAGAUUUUAUGUAUAUAGUUUUUGUUGAACAGCUAGCGAUGGAAUUAUCAGUGCUCGAUGAUCUUUUGUAUUUUAAGAUUAAGAUGGCGGCCUUGUCUUUGUCCCAUUCUUCAUAGCUUAUAGUGCAGUGGAGCUUAACUACUACUUAUGGAGUUCAUGUCUGCACUCACUUCCAGGAUGGCUACUGCCCUACACAUUAUUACCCAUCCUUCUCUAAGGUUGAUAUUGACAAGGUCAGCAUCAAACCAAUUAAACAAAGACUCAUUCAUACAGGUAAACAUUACUAUUUUAAUUAAUCUAGCUUCUGAUUAUUUUUAUUUAUAUAUGAUGCAAGUUUUUUGGUCCAUAAUAUUUUAAACUUGCGUCAUUAUAUUUUAAAAGUCAGUGGACAAAAUUGCAAUAUAGAUGGAUAAAAAAAACUAUAAGACUAAAGAUCGCAUGUAAUGGUUCAAAUCCAUCGCUAGUAGAUAUUGUCUUCUUUGGGCUUUUCCUUACGGGCUUUCCCUCAAGGUUUUUAAA